rnacentral:rRNA from 1 species
AUUGAACGCUGGCGGCAGGCCUAACACAUGCAAGUCGAACGAGUGGCGGACGGGUGAGUAAUGUCUGGGAAACUGCCUGAUGGAGGGGGAUAACUACUGGAAACGGUAGCUAAUACCGCAUACCAUCAGAUGUGCCCAGAUGGGAUUAGCUAGUAGGUGGGGUAACGGCUCACCAAGGCGACGAUCCCUAGCUGGUCUGAGAGGAUGACCCGCCACAGUGGAACGGAGUCACGGUCCAGACUCCUACGGGAGGCAGCAGGGGGGAAUAUUGCGCAAUGGGCGAAAGCCUGAUGCAGCCAUGCCGCGUGUAUGAAGAAGGCCUUCGGGUUUUAAAGUACUUUCAGCGGGGAGGCGUUACCCGCAGAAGAAGCACCGGCUAACUCCGUGCCAGCAGCCGCGGUAAUAC